rnacentral:misc_RNA from 1 species
GAUGUGUUUUAUACAUAAUAAUUUAAUAGAUAUAUAUUCAAAGAAAAUAUAUUUUCUUAUAUAAUUUCUUUUUAAAAUUAAAUUACAUGUAUUAAAUUAUUAUGUUAAUUAAAUAACAUCUUUUAAAGUAUGAUAUAUACUAUUAAAUUUUCACCUUUGUUCAAAUGGUCUUUGAUUAGAAGUUAAUUAGGCCUUCUCAAGUUCAAAUCCUUGUUAAAAAAAAAAAAGUUUUUUUCACAUGAGACAUAUUGUCUUUAGGGAAAAAAAGAAAAAAGUUCUGGGGUAGUUCAAAUGGAAACAAGCUUUAAAGCUCACCAUGAGCCUGCAGUUCAAAACCUGGUUUUGGCAUUUGUUUUUUUUUUUGUUUUUUUUACCCCUCUAAAUGAUGGUUAAGUGGUAGCUAGAUUAAGUGUCAUGUCACCCUUCUAAGAGCCUGCCCAACUCGUUAAACUCAAUCCCGGUUCACUGAUUACCUUACCAAUUCUGAGGUUUUUUUUUUCAAAAAAGGGUUUGAGGGAUAAACCAGACCAGCCAAGGGAAUGGUUCCCAGUUUUUCUGGUUGAACCAGAUGAGCUCAUCCAGGUUUGACAACGAUGAUAAAUAUAGUGCAGUUGGUUACUUUGUCACAUCUGAGACUGUUUUAGGUUUUGACAGCGUUGAACAACAUUGAGUUGGCAAGCUUUCUUCGUUGGUACGUUGCUGUGGAACUUUAU